AAAAAGGUUAACAAUUGGGUAAAAGAUUAAUGGUAAGGAUUUGCUGAACCAACAAACUGAAUUGGAAUACAAAGAAGGGAGGUAUGAGGAGGUCUGGGGAAAUAAGAGUAAGGAAGAUAGGUUAUGGAACAUCAUUGUGUUUUUAAUUGUUUUAUUUUGUAUGUUUUUUCUUACUUUUUACUUUUUUGCUGUAAUUUAUACUUUUUUCUUUGUUUUCUGUAUUUUUGUGAAACUUUAAUAAAUAUCAUUU